rnacentral:rRNA from 1 species
CCUACGGGCGGCAGCAGUGGGGAAUAUUGCACAAUGGGGGGAACCCUGAUGCAGCAACGCCGCGUGGGUGAAGAAGUAUUUCGGUAUGUAAAGCUCUAUCAGCAGGGAAGAAAAUGACGGUACCUGACUAAGAAGCCCCGGCUAACUACGUGCCAGCAGCCGCGGUAAUACGUAGGGGGCAAGCGUUAUCCGGAUUUACUGGGUGUAAAGGGAGCGUAGACGGCUGUGCAAGCCAGAUGUGAAAGCCCGGGGCUCAACCCCGGGACUGCAUUUGGAACUGUGUGGCUGGAGUGUCGGAGAGGCAGGCGGAAUUCCUAGGGUAGCGGUGAAAUGCGUAGAUAUUAGGAGGAACACCAGUGGCGAAGGCGGCCUGCUGGACGAUGACUGACGUUGAGGCUCGAAAGCGUGGGGAGCAAACAGGAUUAGAUACCCGAGUAGUC